AACGAACGCUGGCGGCAUGCCUAACACAUGCAAGUCGAACGAGACCUUCGGGUCUAGUGGCGCACGGGUGCGUAACGCGUGGGAAUCUGCCCUCUGCUACGGAAUAACUCGAGGAAACUCGUGCUAAUACCGUAUGAUGUCGCAAGACCAAAGAUUUAUCGGCAGGGGAUGAGCCCGCGUAGGAUUAGCUAGUUGGUGAGGUAAAGGCUCACCAAGGCGACGAUCCUAGCUGGUCUGAGAGGAUGAUCAGCCACACUGGGACUGAGACACGGCCCAGACUCCUACGGGAGGCAGCAGUGGGGAAUAUUGGACAAUGGGCGAAAGCCUGAUCCAGCAAUGCCGCGUGAGUGAUGAAGGCCUUAGGGUUGUAAAGCUCUUUUACCCGGGAAGAUAAUGACUGUACCGGGAGAAUAAGCUCCGGCUAACUCCGUGCCAGCAGCCG
rnacentral:rRNA from 1 species